GACGAACGCUGGCGGCGUGCCUAAUACAUGCAAGUAGAACGCUGAAGGAGGAGCUUGCUUCUCUGGAUGAGUUGCGAACGGGUGAGUAACGCGUAGGUAACCUGCCUGGUAGCGGGGGAUGACUAUUGGAAACGAUAGCUAAUACCGCAUAAUAGUAGAUGUUGCAUGACAUUUGCUUAAAAGGUGCAAUUGCAUCACUACCAGAUGGACCUGCGUUGUAUUAGCUAGUUGGUGAGGUAACGGCUCACCAAGGCGACGAUACAUAGCCGACCUGAGAGGGUGAUCGGCCACACUGGGACUGAGACACGGCCCAGACUCCUACGGGAGGCAGCAGUAGGGAAUCUUCGGCAAUGGACGGAAGUCUGACCGAGCAACGCCGCGUGAGUGAAGAAGGUUUUCGGAUCGUAAAGCUCUGUUGUAAGAGAAGAACGAGUGUGAG
rnacentral:rRNA from 1 species